GUCAAAAUAGAAAUAGUGUCUUUACACUUCCACAAGACCCAUUAAGUCUGGAAACUGAAUUAAGGCUUUAAGCUCUGUUUGUGAGUCUUCAGCGGUCAUGAGAAGAAGAAGGUGUUUGGUUUCGUCCUACUGUACAGUAGGAAUAGAGAUGAACGGUCAUUUGAAUCUCACCUCAACAUCAUCGUAGUCUGUAUCAUCAGCUUGUUUGGCAUCUGAGAGGUCAGAAUCUGACAGGGUUGCUAUGGUAACAGAUGAUGGAUUCCUCACUGCAGUCCAGGAUGAGAGUGUUGAUGUGUGAUGUCACUUCCUCUGGAGAGCAUCUGUUGUUCUGAUAGCUGGAGUUAAUCAUGAGCUCAUGAACUCU